rnacentral:lncRNA from 1 species
UUCCAUGCAGAUGUAGACAUCUCGUUGGAAAUGGCACCUCCAGAGCUACACUAUGAACUUCUUAAUGGCAAUGAGAUUUUAAUAUGAUGGUUUCCAGAAGCAAAAUUUAAUUUAACUCCUUUCUCUUCAAGAGGGACAUCAUUAUCAUCAAGUGCUGCAACUCACUAUCCUGCAAAGCAGAAAUGCACCUCGGAGAGAGGAGGCCAGAGGCUUGCAAGAAUCCCACAGAAAAUGGGUCCAUGGAGACAGCACAAGAAAAGUACCCUGCCCAGUGGAGAGGAGGCCAUCUUUAACCGAGGCUCAAAGGAAAAAUGAGGAAGAGUACGUUUCCCAGGUAGAGAAUGGAUGGGGAACAGGAAGACCAAUCCAGGCUGAACUAGAGCUUCUGGUACAUGUAGAGAGGGGCUGGAAUGAGACCAGGCCUAAGCACAAAACUAAGGGCACAAAUCUUGCCUCUGAGGCAGUGGGAUUCCACUGGAGAAUUGAAAUUAGCCAAUGGAAUGAUUAGUUCCCUUGUCCCAAAGGUCACCUGGCUGCAGUGGGGUGGGAAUAGAGGAGGAUUGGAACCUUGAUGGGAGGCCUUUCAGGAGGGCCGAAUUGCUGAUGCCUGAGCAAGGAAAGCGGGUAGGAGUGGAGGGAACCCCUGGAAGAUCUGCUGGGAAGGAGAAUCCAGAGAACUUACUGAUUUAAAGGUCACGAGGGCAAGUGAAAAAUCAGUAUCCCACUGUGAGGGGAGGUUUGUCACUAUCUAUUCAAACAAACCAACAAAAACAGAACAGUUUAUGCUGCAGUUUGGAUC